rnacentral:lncRNA from 1 species
AACAUGUAUUCUCCAUCUCCAGCUCCAGCGAGUUCAAGCAAACUUUUUGGGUUUUGAUUUUGCGGUGGUGGGGGACCGACUUAGAGGAGAGGCCACGGGUGGUGGGCGGCGUCCCAACGGUACAGUGAGGCGGAGAAUAGUGCCACUAGACGGUAAGAGUACGGGUCAUCCAUGAGAGGGUGGUGUCACAAACGCCGGAACGCAUCACGAACGAGAGCGAUUAGUGUAUGAGCAGCUGGAGACAAG